rnacentral:lncRNA from 1 species
GCUCCUGUGGGCUGCACACCAAGAGUCAUCACCCCUCCUAGUCCUUUAGCAACCUUGUGUAGAUGAAUUAUUGGGAAGUUUGGUCCACCUGCCUAUUUGCAGGCUGGUUUUGAAACCAGGGUUUAGGAAUGAGGGCUCCUUCCUCAAAAAGGAAAAGUAUCUGAAGGAUUUGGGAGAAAAAAAAAGGCUGGAAAUAUAAAGGAUGAGUUUGUAGGUGCUUGUAUGCUUUGCUCAGGAACCCAGCCUGCAGUGGGGCUGCCUUUAUGGGAAGCUCAUCGGGAUGCAGGACUGUAGUUGGUCAAAUCUCCCAUUGCCUUUUUGGAGACUGAAAGUCAGAACAGGAAUUGCUGCCAGCAGUUUGUGUCGGCUCGCUCGUGUGGGUGAGGUGCAGGCACGAUAUUGCUUCCCCUUCUUUGUUCUCCUUCAGCUUCUGAACGCAGGAGACCUCGUGGACAUCCCUAUGGCCGCAGCCCACUGCAAGGCAGACCCACACAAGGCAGCUGCAUGGCUCUGUGUGUCCAGGGGUCAGGACCAGAGACGGCUGGACCAGAGCUGGAAACCUCUGAGAUGCCUGGAGCCCAGCUCCUAGCAGAUGAGGGAUUGACCAUCAACAGAAAUCGGAAGGAAAACUGUUUAUUUCAGUGGAGGUAAUGUUAUUUAAAGCGGAACAAAACCAAAACUAACGUGACAGGUUUGGGAAGCACGGCCAGUUCCCACAAAGCCAGUGGUACGUGGGGCUGCUUUCAGAGCCCUCUGGAGGCUGUCUCCAUCCUUUGGGGGCUUGUGUCCUGCAAAGAGGCCCUGCUCUGGCUUAAUCCGUAGGACUUCUGUCUGCCUCUGCCAGGCUCUCCUGAAAAAUAAAACGUGAAUGUCAGCACAAUUUACUCUACUUAUUGGAGGUUAUUUUGUUAACGAGCUGAUGAUACAGAGCCCAGUGUUCAUAUUUUAAGACGUAUAUAAUGGAGCAGUUGUGUUUGUUGGAAAGACACGCUUCAGAAAGUGAAUGAAAACCUUUUUUUUGUGAAUUUCACAGCCCUGGGAUCCACGGGAGGAGGAGCAGGUUCAGAGUGGACACGUUUUGUGGAGGGUGGAUCCAAAAAGACCUCUGAAUGAAGCAAGCGGUGGCCAUCGGCAGAGCUUCUUGGGAUGAGGAUCAGCUUUUAGUGGUGAGGCUUUCCCCAGGCUGUGCUCGAUCUGAGCCAGUUCAUUGCUGUGCUGCGUGUGUAACUCUUUCUAUGAGAGGACAUUUCUUGGGAUAUUGCAUUCCUCAGAAUAUUACAGGAUAUCACCUGCCAGGCACCUCCUAUCUUCGCUUCUGUUCCCUGGACUGCGGUUUCCAACCUCUUCCCUGGUGCCUCAGUGUUUCCCUGGUAUUCUCCCGUGUUUAAUGGCUUUUCUUUCUCAUAGUGUGCAAAAUUGGAGUGCAAUUCUUACACCGCGUGUCCUCAGCAGAAUUUAUAUACAUGCAUUUUAUCAAAUCUGUCGCCUCUAGACUCCUGUGACAUGUUUAGAGUCCACGUAUGAUGGAUUAGCAACAAAGACAGCAGGCAGCAUACCUUCCCUAGCCUCCCUUUUCUGCUCCCCUCUUGUUUUGUAGGUCAUGCUCACGCUCUGCUCAAAUUUUGGUUAAUCGUGUUUUCUAUCCAGUCUCCUUUGCGCUAUGUCCAGGGCUGGAUUUCAUCAGCAUCUCAAGACAACGACUGCCAGACUUUAAUUAACUAUCGACAGAAAAAAAAGUAAGUUUUCCCAUCUGUGUCAAAGUUUUGCUUGUUCUGUAAGAUGCAGUGGACUCUUCAGUGCAAUUUAAAAAGAAAUUCAGUGUUUUUUUUUUUACUUUUUCCUACCCAAAAUAUCACGUGGCAGUUUAGUCACAUCACUCCUUGUUCUGCCCACAAUAAACCUAAAAAGUCAGGCCUGAAUUGUGGUUGCCUUGGAUGUAGGUGGGGGUUAGUACCCGAUAUAAUCCCCCUCAGUCACCUCUUCAAAUGAUAGGACCAGCAUCUUCCAUUUUUUUCCUGAAGACCAGGAAUUUCUGACCCCAGGGCUCUUCUCAGCCUCCUGCACACGUGGCUGGAGUCGAGGCCAUCAUGAUUUUUGUCGUUUCGGCAGAGAUCUUGUAUUCGCUCCGAGGUGGACAUAAUUCUUGUUUUCUGACAAGCCCUGGGAUUUUGUUUGGGCUUUCUGCAGCUGUGUUGUGAUGCUGAUGUCAGCCCUUGAAGCAAUCAGUCUGAACACGCUUCUAUUUGGAGGAACUUGGUAUUUUUACAUUAAACUGCCUUUUGACCUGAACCAAAACAGAUUUCUGCAGUUACGCUGCUGAGCAUUUGAGCUCUGUUUUUGUCCUCCCUGGCACCUUUCAACUUGGACUGAGAGAAGAGGGGGAGCAACACUUACUGAGAAAGGAAAAAGAUGUGAGGAGAGAAUGGAGAAGUUGCAGUGCUCCAAACCCCUUCACAAAUGUUGUUUUUAACUGGGAAUGGGAGGACCUCUUACCUCUUUUGAAGAAGGAGUGGUAGCACGUCUUUUUUCCUGUCUUCUGAGCUGCCACCUAUAAGGGAAAGUCAAAUUUCUCAGGGAACAGAGCCAUGGGUGGGGAUUUCAUGCAGAAAAAGGUGCAGGUACCUUAUGAGAAACGCUGGCUGUUUUCCCAAAAUCAUGUUCUGUGGCAUGGACACGUAAAAUGACAAGAGAGGAGAAGUGUGAAGAUAAACCCCAUCUCCUCCCCAAGACCCAGAGACACUACAGAUCACCGGGGCAAGGGGGGAAGCGUUUCUUAGAGCUGCUCUGGGGACUCCAGCAUGGGGUGGAGAUACCCAAACUGGUUGUACUGGAGGGUGGCUGGGUGCUAGGCAGUCCCGCUGCCAAGAGCGGAACGAACUUCUGUCCAUCCUGCUUCUUGGCACAAUAAAUCAGCCCGGCAAAUCUGAAGCAUGUGGAUGUGCAGAGACCAUCGAGGGGAAUGCCAGCUUUCGUUUUCUGCUGUGGGAUUUGGAACAUUCUCCCCGCCUGUAGUCACAUUCCCAUAUUCUUUCAGUUAAGCUUAUAAUGCCAUUUGACCUGGGAAAAAUGUGCAAACCAGUAAGAGGAUAAGACAGCAUUUAUCCUCUGCACACUAUUUUAAAACCUUUCUCUUUUUUUCAACUUUUGUUUGCCCUUUUUUUCCUUUCUUUUUUUUUUUUUUCCCAAACCUCAAAGGAAAAAGUAAAUGAAUUGAACCAUAAAUUUCAAGAGAGAAAAAAGGAAG